AUUGAACGCUGGCGGAAUGCUUUACACAUGCAAGUCGAGCGGCAGCGCGGGGCAACCUGGCGGCGAGCGGCGAACGGGUGAGUAAUACAUCGGAACGUGCCCAGACGUGGGGGAUAACUACUCGAAAGAGUGGCUAAUACCGCAUACGAUCUACGGAUGAAAGCGGGGGAUCGCAAGACCUCGCGCGUCUGGAGCGGCUGAUGGCAGAUUAGGUAGUUGGUGGGAUAAAAGCCUACCAAGCCAACGAUCUGUAGCUGGUCUGAGAGGAUGAUCAGCCACACUGGGACUGAGACACGGCCCAGACUCCUACGGGAGGCAGCAGUGGGGAAUUUUGGACAAUGGGCGAAAGCCUGAU
rnacentral:rRNA from 1 species